UACGUAGGGGGCAAGCGUUGUCCGGAUUUAUUGGGCGUAAAGAGCGUGUAGGCGGCUUUACAGGUCCGUUGUGAAAACUCGAGGCUCAACCUCGAGACGCCGGUGGAAACCGUAAAGCUAGAGUCCGGAAGAGGAGAGUGGAAUUCCUGGUGUAGCGGUGAAAUGCGCAGAUAUCAGGAAGAACACCCGUGGCGAAGGCGGCUCUCUAGUAGCGGUACUGACGCUGAGACGCGAAAGCGUGGGGAGCGAA
rnacentral:rRNA from 1 species